AGCAAAAAAUUGAAGUAGAUUAGUUGGGUAUGGUCAGCUGAUUCUACUAAUGUACUCUACUUCGAGUUUGUGCUC
rnacentral:pre_miRNA from 1 species